rnacentral:rRNA from 1 species
UACGUAGGGGGCAAGCGUUGUCCGGAAUUAUUGGGCGUAAAGGGCUCGUAGGCGGUCUGUCACGUCGGGGGUGAAAACUCAGGGCUUAACCCUGAGCCUGCUUCCGAUACGGGCAGACUAGAGGUAUGCAGGGGAGAACGGAAUUCCUGGUGUAGCGGUGAAAUGCGCAGAUAUCUGGAAGAACACCCGUGGCGAAGGCGGCUCUCUGGGACGGUACUGACGCUGAGACGCGAAAGCGUGGGGAGCGAACAGG